rnacentral:rRNA from 1 species
UACCAGCACCCCGAGUGGUCGGGACGAUUAUUGGGCCUAAAGCAUCCGUAGCCGGUUCUGCAAGUCCCCCGUUAAAUCCAGCUGCUCAACAGAUGGGCCGCGGAGGAUACUACAGAGCUAGGAGGCAGGAGAGGCAAGCGGUACUCAGUGGGUAGGGGUAAAAUCCGUUGAUCCAUUGAAGACCACCAGUGGCGAAGGCGGCUUGCCAGAAUGCGCUCGACGGUGAAGGAUGAAAGCUGGGGGAGCAAACCGG